CGAGAUUUGGACUGAUUUUUCAGCCAGUUGUUUUGCUUUGAGGGUCGCCAUGUAACUUUGCUUGGCUGUUGCUUGGUCCCCUCGAGCUUCGCCGACUCUCCGUUCGGUGGGAAAUCGCAUGAGCAGGUGGUAGGUUGAUACUAUGGCCCGGAGGGCGUUGAGCCCAGGUCGGCCGAGAAUAGUAUUGUAGACUGAAGCCACCCGGACUACUAGGAAGUCCAUCUUCACGGUACUCUCUUUAGGGGCAGCCCGGCCGUAACAGGUAGGCUAACUACUCCUUCAACCGGGACUGAUUCCCUAGUGAAUCCGACCAGUGGAGCGUUCAUUCUUCGGAGCUGGUCCUCCGUCAUUCCAAUUUUUUGGAAAGCAUCAUAGAAUAAUACGUUUGCAGAGCUUCCAUUAUCAACUAAAACACGUUUUACAUCAAACUUAUUUAUGACAUGGGAGAUGACCACAUCAUCAUCAUGGGGAGUUUCAACUCCUUUUAAGUCUUCAUCCAAGAACGAGAUGGCUUCUGUCGUGCGCUGACGCUUCAGGGGGCCUUCCUU
rnacentral:lncRNA from 1 species